rnacentral:piRNA from 1 species
UGGGUUUCCAUCAAUAUGCAU